GGUGACUAGUGACAGAGGGAAGGAAGGGGUGACUAGUGACAGAGUGAGGGAGGGAGUGGGUGACCAGUGACAGAGGGAGGGGGUGACACAGUGAGGGAGGUGGUGACUAGUGACAGAGUGAGGGAGGUGGUGACUGUCACUAGUCACUAGUCACCACCUCCCUCCCUCUGUCCCUAGUCACCCCUCCCUCUGUCACUAGUCACCCCCUUCCUCACUCUGUCACUAGUCACCCCUUCCCUCCCUAACGCUGUCAACUAGUCACCACUUCCCUCCCUCACUCUGUCACUAGUCACACCCUCCCUCACUGUCACUAGAGUGAGGG